rnacentral:rRNA from 1 species
AUUGAACGCUGGCGGCAGGCCUAACACAUGCAAGUCGAACGAGUGGCGGAAGUGUGAGCAAUGACUCGGAAUCUGCCUGAUGGAGGGGGUCAACAACCGGGAACGGAUGCUAAAUCCGCCCACCUUCGGAUGUGUCCAGAUGGGAUUAGCUAGUGGGUGGGGUAAAGGCCGACCAAGGCGACGAUCCCUAGCUGGUCUGAGAGGAUGACCAGCCACACUGGAACUGAGACACGGUCCAGACUCCUACGGGAGGCAGCAGUGGGGAAUAUUGGACAAUGGGCGAAAGCCUGAUGCAGCCAUGCCGCGUGUGUGAAGAAGGCCUUCGGGUUGUAAAGUACUUUCAGUGGGGAGGCGUUACCCGCAGAAGAAGCACCGGCUAACUCCGUGCCAGCAGCCGCGGUAAUAC